AACAUGAGCUUCGGAAGUUGCUAUUGUUGCUCCUCUCCCCGAAUGAAGAUUGAACUUCACUCUAGAUUGCAACCUCCUUCCUCUGUCCAACAUCUAGUAUUUGACGAUCUGAGGACGGAAGUUUCAAAAUUAACAGAUGAAGGGCUUAUGCCUAAAACGUCAACUUUCCUGCUCUUCGGAUGCUGUCUGACCAGCUGUGCUCUUCCAGCACCGCACGUUUCAGCACGGACUGUUCAGUAACUACAAUCCUCACUUUGUCAUCAAUAUCUGACGGUCAGUCAAUCCAUCGAGACUGCAAUAAUUUUUUACUGUGAUUCUAUGAGGAAGAGCAAAGCUUUUUGGUUCCUGUUUGAGUACGUUUUCAGCAUCAGUCGGACUGGAUGAGAGACCCGACUGUUGCAGCGCACUUGAGUGUGAAGCCAGAAACAGCUCUACGGCCUGGAAAGAGGAAUUCACGGUGAGGAGGGGCUCUACACGCAUUUGUGUACAGCUGGAGCUUCGGCCAUGGAGAAACCUGAGGAAUCCCACCCCGAGGAGGAAUCGUGGAAGUGUGGUGACUGCGGGAAAGGCUUCCGUGCUCCAUCUGCCCUGGAGAUUCAUCGGCGCAGUCACACCGGAGAGAGGCCAUUCAUCUGCCCCAAGUGUGGGAAGGCCUUCAGCAAUUCCUCUGCCCUUAUGAGGCACCGGUGGGUCCACACAGGGGAGAGGCCCUUCAGCUGCCCCGAUUGUGGGAAGGACUUCAGUUAUUCUUCUGACCUGCAGACCCACCGACGGGUCCACACGGGGGAGAGGCCGUUCUCCUGCACUGUGUGUGGGAAGGCCUUCAGCACCUCCUCCACCCUCCUGACCCACUGGCGGGUCCACACUGGGGAGAGGCCAUUCACUUGUUCCGAAUGCAGGAAGGGAUUCACUCAGGAGGGCAAGUUGCGGAUGCACCAGCGGGUCCACACUGGGGAGAAGCCUUUCAGCUGCCCCGAGUGUGGGAAGGCCUUCAACGAUUCCUCUUCCCUUCAGACCCACAAGUGGGUCCACACACAGGAGAGGCCGUUCCCCUGCACAGAGUGCGGCAAGCUCUUCAGCAAUUCCUCCACCCUGCUGAAGCACCAGCGGGUCCACACAGGGGAGAGGCCCUUCAGCUGCCCCGAGUGUGGGAAGGGCUUUACCCAGAUGUCUGUCCUGCUGAUCCACCAGCGGAUCCACAUCGGUGAGAAGCCUUUCUGCUGCCCUGAGUGUGGGAAGGGAUUCACUCAGAAGGGCAACUUGCGCACGCACCAGCGGGUCCACACCGGGGAGAGGCCCUUCAGCUGCCCCGAGUGCGGAAAUGCCUUCAGCGAUUCCUCCACCCUACUGAAGCACCAACGGGUCCACACAGGGAAGAAGCCAUUCCCCUGCCCCGAGUGUGGGAAGGCCUUUAGCAAUUCCUCCGACCUGCUGAAGCACCAGCGUGUCCACACGGGGGAGAAGCCCUUCAGCUGUCACGAAUGUGGGAAGGCCUUCAGCGAUUCCUCCGCCCUGGUGAAGCACCGGCGGGUCCACACAGGGGAGAGGCCCUUCAGCUGUCACGAAUGUGGGAAGGCCUUCAGCGAUUCCUCCGCCCUGGUGAAGCACCAGCGGGUCCACACGGGGGAGAGGUCCUUCAGCUGCCCCGAGUGUGGGAAGGGCUUUACCCGGGCAGCCACCCUGCGGAGGCACCAAGGAGUUCAUGUGCCAUCACAGGGGGAUUGAAGGAGCGACUGCCGAGUGCCAUUAUGGACUGGGCUAACAACCCAGUUCUGGAACUCCCAGGUUUGAAUCCCACCGCAGCAGAUCGCGGAUUUGGAAUUCGGUCAGAAAUCUGGAGGAAGACAUGGGGAAGAAAUCUGAAACCAAAAGACACAUCAACUUCUGGCAGAGCCACUUGAUUCACUGGGACUUUAAUAUCAGCAGCCAUUCACAUCGAGAAGACAUGUUUGCUUUUGUUUGCUUGAAAGAUUUUGGACACUGGUGUGGCAGGAAGAAUACUGAGACACCCGAGUGAGGGAGAUUCAGUGCGCUGACUGUGAAAAGUGCUUCAUACCAUUUACUCAGCUUGGGGAAUCAAACUCUCACCCCUCACGGUGGGGAGAGACUGUGUACCCUUUCCGUUUGUAAUUUGAAACACAGAGUGAGACAAGGAAAGCUUCCCCCCAUGUGGAAAUGUUGGUACUGUGGGAGAAGAUGCCCUUUCCUAUCGAUGCUGGAACCCCACAGACGCGUUCACAUGGGGAAGAGGGGAGAGGCUGUUCACCUGCUCCGUGUGCAGACAGGGAUUUAGUGAGAUGGGCCAUCUGCAGACACACCAGCGGGUCCAUGUGGAAGAGAUGCCGUUCAAGUGCUCCAUGUGCGGGAGGGAGUUCACUCGGUCAUCUACACUGCUGGCCCACCAGCGGGUCCACACCGGAGAGAGGCCAUUCACUUGCUCACCGUGCAGGAAGGGCUUCACCCGCUCCUCCCACCUACAGAGACACCAGUGAGUUCACCUGCCAUUGAAGGAGCUUCAGCCGAAUGCUAUUAUCGACUGCAUUAGUAACUCAGUUCUGGGGACUCCUGAGUUUGAAUAGCAGAUGGUGGAGUUGGAAGUCAGUCAGAAACCUGGAGUUCAGAACCUCAUGAUGAGAAAAACAUCCCUAUCUGAUUCACUCAUGUUUUAGGGAAGGAAACUGCUGUUGUGGGAAAGGAAUCACUCAGUCAUCCCAGCUGCAGGCUUUACCUGGUCUGGUCUACAAGUGACUCCAGACCCACAGCAGCCUGGUUGACUCUCGACAGCCCCUCGGCAAAUGAGCGGGGAGAAUCUUACUUGGAUACAGGCUAUGGGUUGCAAUUGCUGAGUGAAGCAAUACUUCCUCCGGGUUACGGCUGUACCAAGGAUCCAAUUACAAAGGGACAACUCAGCUGACCAACAGUGAAGGAAGUGGGGUGCAGGGGAAUGUGUACGCUUUGACCUUGAGCUGUUAAAAAUGCAAAUAAGCUACUUUUUCUAUGCCUAUUUGCUGGGGAGAUCUGAAGCUGUAACAAAG